rnacentral:rRNA from 1 species
AGUCAAGUAAUUAAGUGCAUGUGGUGGAUGCCUUGGCAGUCAGAGGCGAUGAAAGACGUGAUAGCCUGCGAAAAGCUCCGGGGAGGCGGCAAAUAUCCUUUGAUCCGGAGAUGUCUGAAUGGGGGAACCCACCUACUUUAAGGUAGGUAUUGCAACAUGAAUACAUAGUGUUGCAAGGCGAACGAGGGGAAGUGAAACAUCUCAGUACCCUUAGGAAAAGAAAUCAAUUGAGAUUCCCUCAGUAGCGGCGAGCGAACGGGGAUCAGCCCAUUAAGUUAUGUGUGUUUUAGUGGAACGCUCUGGGAAGUGCGAACGUAGAGGGUGAUAUUCCCGUACACGAAAGGGCACACAUAAUGAUGACGAGUAGGGCGAGGCACGUGAAACCUUGUCUGAAUAUGGGGGGACCAUCCUCCAAGGCUAAAUACUCCUGACUGACCGAUAGUGAACCAGUACCGUGAGGGAAAGGCGAAAAGAACCCCUGUGAGGGGAGUGAAAUAGAUCCUGAAACCGCAUGCAUACAAGCAGUGGGAGCACCUUCGUGGUGUGACUGCGUACCUUUUGUAUAAUGGGUCAGCGACUUAUAUUCAGUAGCGAGUUAACCGUAUAGGGGAGCCGUAGAGAAAUCGAGUCUUAAUAGGGCGUUUAGUUGCUGGGUAUAGACCCGAAACCAGGCGAUCUAUCCAUGAGCAGGUUGAAGGUUGGGUAACACUAACUGGAGGACCGAACCCACUGUCGUUGAAAAGCCAGGGGAUGACUUGUGGAUAGGGGUGAAAGGCUAAUCAAGCCUGGUGAUAGCUGGUUCUCCCCGAAAGCUAUUUAGGUAGCGCCUCGGACGAAUACCAUAGGGGGUAGAGCACUGUUUCGGCUAGGGGGUCAUCCCGACUUACCAAACCGAUGCAAACUCCGAAUACCUAUGAGUACUAUCCGGGAGACAGACUGCGGGUGCUAACGUCCGUAGUCAAGAGGAAAACAAUCCAGACCGCCAGCUAAGGCCCCAAAAUCAUAGUUAAGUGGGAAACGAUGUGGGAAGGCAUAGACAGCUAGGAGGUUGGCUUAGAAGCAGCCACCCUUUAAAGAAAGCGUAAUAGCUCACUAGUCGAGUCGGCCUGCGCGGAAGAUGUAACGGGGCUAAAACUAUGUGCCGAAGCUGCGGAUGUAUACUUUGUAUACGUGGUAGGGGAGCGUUCUGUAAGCCGAUGAAGGUGUGUUGAGAAGCAUGCUGGAGGUAUCAGAAGUGCGAAUGCUGACGUGAGUAACGACAAAACGGGUGAAAAACCCGUUCGCCGAAAGACCAAGGGUUCCAGUCCAACGUUAAUCGGGGCUGGGUGAGUCGACCCCUAAGGCGAGGCCGAAAGGCGUAGUCGAUGGGAAAAUGGUUAAUAUUCCAUUACUUCUGUGUAAUGCGAUGAGAGGACGGAGAAGGCUAAAUCAGCCUGGCGUUGGUUGUCCAGGUGAAAGGAUGUAGGCAUGUAUCUUAGGCAAAUCCGGGGUACUCUAUGCUGAGAUCUGAUAGCAAGCUGUACUUGUACAGCGAAGUGGUUGAUGCCAUGCUUCCAGGAAAAGUCUCUAAGCUUCAGUUACACAGGAAUCGUACCCGAAACCGACACAGGUGGUCAGGUCGAGUAGACCAAGGCGCUUGAGAGAACUCUGCUGAAGGAACUAGGCAAAAUGGUACCGUAACUUCGGGAGAAGGUACGCUGUUGUUGGUGAUGGAACUCGCUUCCUGAGCUGACGACAGCCGCAGAAACCAGGCCGCUGCAACUGUUUAUUAAAAACAUAGCACUCUGCAAACACGAAAGUGGACGUAUAGGGUGUGAUGCCUGCCCGGUGCUGGAAGGUUAAUUGAUGGGGUUAGCGUAAGCGAAGCUCUUGAUCGAAGCCCCAGUAAACGGCGGCCGUAACUAUAACGGUCCUAAGGUAGCGAAAUUCCUUGUCGGGUAAGUUCCGACCUGCACGAAUGGCAUAAUGAUGGCGGCGCUGUCUCCAGCAGAGGCUCAGUGAAAUCGAAAUCGCUGUGAAGAUGCAGUGUACCCGCGGCUAGACGGAAAGACCCCGUGAACCUUUACUGCAGCUUGACACUGAACUUUGACCUUACUUGUGUAGGAUAGGUGGGAGGCUUUGAAGCUGGAACGCUAGUUCCAGUGGAGCCGUCCUUGAAAUACCACCCUGGUAAUGUUGAGGUUCUAACUCUGUCCCGUGAUCCGGGACGAGGACCGUGUCUGGUGGGUAGUUUGACUGGGGCGGUCUCCUCCUAAAGAGUAACGGAGGAGUACGAAGGUGCGCUCAGCGUGGUCGGAAAUCACGCGUAGAGUAUAAAGGCAAAAGCGCGCUUAACUGCGAGACCCACAAGUCGAGCAGGUACGAAAGUAGGUCUUAGUGAUCCGGUGGUUCUGUAUGGAAGGGCCAUCGCUCAACGGAUAAAAGGUACUCUGGGGAUAACAGGCUGAUACCGCCCAAGAGUUCAUAUCGACGGCGGUGUUUGGCACCUCGAUGUCGGCUCAUCUCAUCCUGGGGCUGAAGCAGGUCCCAAGGGUAUGGCUGUUCGCCAUUUAAAGAGGUACGCGAGCUGGGUUUAGAACGUCGUGAGACAGUUCGGUCCCUAUCUACCGUGGGCGCUGGAAAUUUGAGAGGAUCUGCUCCUAGUACGAGAGGACCAGAGUGGACGAACCUCUGGUGUACCGGUUGUGACGCCAGUCGCAUCGCCGGGUAGCUAUGUUCGGAAGGGAUAACCGCUGAAAGCAUCUAAGCGGGAAGCCUACCUCAAGAUAAGAUUUCCCUAGGACUUUAUGUCCUCUAAAGAGCCGUUCGAGACUAGGACGUUGAUAGGUUGGAUGUGGAAGCAUAGUGAUAUGUGAAGCUGACCAAUACUAAUUGCUCGUGAGGCUUGACUAU